GAUGAACGCUGGCGGCGUGCCUAAUACAUGCAAGUCGAGCGAACGGACGAGAAGCUUGCUUCUCUGAUGUUAGCGGCGGACGUGUGAGUAACACGUGGAUAACCUACCUAUAAGACUGGGAUAACUUCGGGAAACCGGAGCUAAUCCCGGAUAAUAUUUUGAACCGCAUGGUUCAAAAGUGAAAGACGGUCUUUCUGUCACUUCUAGAUGGAUCCGCGCUGCAUUAGCUAGUUGGUAAGGUAACGGCUUACCAAGGCAAGGAUGCGUAACCGACCUGAGGGGGUGGUCGGCCACACGGGAACUGAGACACGGUCCAGACUACUACGGGAGGCAGCAGUAGGGUAUCGGCCGCAAUGGGCGGAAGCCUGGCGGAGCAACGCCGCGUGAGUUAUGAAGGUCUUCGGAUCGUAAAACUCUGUUAUUAGGGAAGAACAGAUGUGUAAGUAACUGUGCACAGCGUGACGGUAACGAAUAAGAAAGCCACGGCUAACUACGUG
rnacentral:rRNA from 1 species